rnacentral:rRNA from 1 species
CCUUAGAGUUUGAUCCUGGCUCAGGAUGAACGCUGGCGGCGUGCUUAACACAUGCAAGUCGAACGAAGAUACUUAAAAUGAGAGCUUCGGCAGGAAUUUUAUUUAUCUUAGUGGCGGACGGGUGAGUAACGUGUGGGCAACCUGCCCUAUACUGGGGAAUAAUCACUGGAAACGGUGACUAAUACCGCAUGUCAUUACGGAAGGGCAUCCUUCUGUAAGAAAAGGAGUAAUUCGGUAUAGGAUGGGCCCGCAUCUGAUUAGCUAGUUGGUGAGAUAACAGCCCACCAAGGCGACGAUCAGUAGCCGACCUGAGAGGGUGAUCGGCCACAUUGGGACUGAGACACGGCCCAAACUCCUACGGGAGGCAGCAGUGGGGAAUAUUGCACAAUGGGGGAAACCCUGAUGCAGCAACGCCGCGUGAAGGAAGAAGGUUUUCGGAUCGUAAACUUCUAUCAACAGGGACGAAGAAAGUGACGGUACCUGAAUAAGAAGCCCCGGCUAACUACGUGCCAGCAGCCGCGGUAAUACGUAGGGGGCAAGCGUUAUCCGGAAUUACUGGGUGUAAAGGGAGCGUAGGCGGCACGCCAAGCCAGAUGUGAAAGCCCGAGGCUUAACCUCGCGGAUUGCAUUUGGAACUGGCGAGCUAGAGUACAGGAGAGGAAAGCGGAAUUCCUAGUGUAGCGGUGAAAUGCGUAGAUAUUAGGAAGAACACCAGUGGCGAAGGCGGCUUUCUGGACUGAAACUGACGCUGAGGCUCGAAAGCGUGGGGAGCAAACAGGAUUAGAUACCCCGGUAGUCCACGCCGUAAACGAUGAGUGCUAGGUGUCGGGGAGGAAUCCUCGGUGCCGCAGCUAACGCAAUAAGCACUCCACCUGGGGAGUACGACCGCAAGGUUGAAACUCAAAGGAAUUGACGG